CUGCCUAUGCAUUAUCUGUCAUUUGCUCCGGCAAAAAAUUCUCUCUCCGGGAAUUCUCACGCUUAUUUGCGGAACUAAUAAUGGAAUAGCAACCAUAUUUUUUCACAAUCAUACAAUUCGUUUUAGUGGACAGAGAAUUCAUAGUUCCAACACUCUACAAUAAUCAACGCCAUGAUAGCACAAUCAGUGGACACCUUAGCAUGUGGUAGCCUGAGGAGGUAUUGAUACUUUUUACAUUGAUAUAUUCUGGAGGCCGGCCCAAUCAUCAUGACUCGGCAAAUAUGGUAUUUUUUUUGGAAACCUGUUUUUUAUUCAUGAAAUUCUUAUUAUAUUGGAUCUUCAGUGAACUUUUUCUACAUUUAUACAAUAUAUAUAAUAUUUGAUAGAGAAGGAGAAUCAUGGGAAAUACCCGAAGAUAUAUGUAAAUCUGUUAGGUACAAUCGAACAUGUUUGAUCGCCAAAUCUGCGUUUGCCUUAAGAGCAGCCCGAGCUCGAACACCAACAUACUGCUGUAGCCAGGAAAAGGAGUUCGAUCGAACACUUGCUUGAAAGAGGCUGGAACGAACCGAAGCUAUGCUAAAUUUUGUGGAGGGGAAGUUCGAUCAACCAGAAUGCUCAAAGACCGUUCA